rnacentral:rRNA from 1 species
AUCCAAGGAAGGCAGCAGGCGCGCAAAUUACCCACUCCCGGCACGGGGAGGUAGUGACGAAAAAUAACAAUACGGGACUCUUUUGAGACCCCGUAAUUGGAAUGAGUACACUCUAAAUCCUUUAACGAGGAUCAAUUGGAGGGCAAGCCUGGUGCCAGCAGCUGCGGUAAUUCCAGCUCCAAUAGCGUAUAUUAAAGUUGUUGCGGUUAAAAAGCUCGUAGUUGGAUCUCAGUUCCGGACGGACGGUCCGCCUACCGGCGGUCACUGUCCGGUCCGAACGAUUUUGGGUCGGUAAUCCUCGAUGAUCUUAACCGGUUGUCUUGGGUGACCGACGGGUUUACUUUGAAAAAAUUAGAGUGCUCAGGGCAGGCGUGAUGCCUGAAUAAUGGUGCAUGGAAUAAUGGAAUAGGACCUCGGUUCUAUUUUGUUGGUUUUUCGGAACACGAGGUAAUGACUAAGAGGGACAGACGGGGGCAUUCGUAUUGCGACGCUAGAGGUGAAAUUCUUGGACCGUCGCAAGACGAACUACUGCGAAAGCAUUUGCCAAGAAUGUUUCCAUUAAUCAAGAACGAAAGUUAGAGGUUCGAAGGCGAUCAGAUACCGCCCUAGUUCUAACCAUAAACGAUGCCAGCCAGCGAUCCGGCUGUGUUCCUCAAAUGACACGCCGGGCAGCUUCCGGGAAACCAAAGCCUUUGGGUUCCGGGGGAAGUAUGGUUGCAAAGCUGAAACUUAAAGGAAUUGACGGAAGGGCACACAAGGAAUGGAGCCUGCGGCUUAAUUUGACUCAACACGGGAAAACUUACCCAGCCCGGACACAGGAAGGAUUGACAGAUUAAGAGCUCUUUCUUGAUUCUGUGGGUGGUGGUGCAUGGCCGUUCUUAGUUGGUGGAGCGAUUUGUCUGGUUGAUUCCGAUAACGAGCGAGACUCUAGCCUACUAAAUAGACGAUCCGAUCCCCUGGGUCGGACGUUCUUCUUAGAGGGACAAGCGGCGUCUAGCCGCACGAGACAGAGCAAUAACAGGUCAGUGAUGCCCUUAGAUGUCCGGGGCCGCACGCGCGCUACAUUGAAGGAAUCAGCGUGUGCUUUCCCGGUCCGACAGGAUUGGGUAACCCGUUGAACCUCCUUCGUGCUUGGGAUAGGGGUUUGUAACUAUCCCCCUUGAACGAGGAAUUCCUAGUAAGCACGAAUCAUCAGUUCGUGUUGAUUACGUCCCUGCCCUUUGUUCACACCGCCCGUCGCUACUACCGAUUGAAUGUUUUAGUGAGGUCUUCGGACUGGCGCUCGGAUUGGCCUUCGGGUCGAGCCGACGUGCCGGAAAGAUGACCGAACUUGAGCAUUUAGAGGAAGUAAA